AGCUCCAAUAGCGUAUAUUAAAGUUGUUGCAGUUAAAACGCUCGUAGUCGGAUUUCGGGGCGGGCCGACCGGUCUGCCGAUGGGUAUGCACUGGCCGGCGCGUCCUUCCUUCCGGAGACCGCGCCUACUCUUAACUGAGCGGGUGUGGGAGACGGAUCGUUUACUUUGAAAAAUCAGAGUGUUUCAAGCAGGCAUCUCGCUCUUGCAUGGAUUAGCAUGGGAUAAUGAAAUAGG
rnacentral:rRNA from 1 species